GAUCAUGGCUCGAGGACGAACGCUGGCGGCGUGCUUCAUACAUGCAAGUCGAACGAGAAGUCACCUUCGGGUGAUGGAAAGUGGCGGACGGGUGAGUAAUGUGUAGAGAAUCUGCCCUAGAGAGAGGGACAACAGUUGGAAACGACUGCUAAUACCUCAUAUGCGCGUAGCUGAGAUGCUAUUCGUGAAAACUCCGGUGCUCUGGGAUGAGUCUGCAUCUGAUUAGCUAGUUGGCGGUGUAAUGGACCACCAAGGCGACGAUCAGUAGCUGGUUUGAGAGGAUGAUCAGCCACAAUGGGACUGAGACACGGCCCAUACUCCUACGGGAGGCAGCAGUAGGGAAUUUUGCGCAAUGGGGGAAACCCUGACGCAAGCAACGCCGCGUGAUUGAAUAAGCCCUUCGGGGUGUAAAGAUCUGUCAGUAGGGACGAAACUUGACGGUACCUACAGAGGAAGCAUCGGCUAACUCCGUGCCAGCAGCUGC
rnacentral:rRNA from 1 species